rnacentral:lncRNA from 1 species
UGUAUAACAUUUAGAUUUACAUCUCAUUUAGGAAAUUAGGGGUAGAUUAGUGCAUUUGCCCGAUUAGAGUAGGAAAUAACCCCUCAAAUAUGAAAUAUGGAUGAGUUUGACUCUCUAGUCUUAGCACGCUCAUAUUCCCUCUGUUAAAGGGAAAAUUUAGUCACGAACAUUAGUCCCCCAUACCCGACAUGAUGCAUUCUUUUAGAACAUGUAUAUUUGCAUCAUUAUGAUUACUUUUAUUAUUUUCCUUUUCUUUCUUUAGAGUCUCAUAUUUUU